rnacentral:rRNA from 1 species
UACGUAGGGCGCAAGCGUUGUCCGGAAUUAUUGGGCGUAAAGAGCUCGUAGGCGGCUUGUCACGUCGGGUGUGAAAGCCCGCGGCUUAACCCCGGGUCUGCAUUCGAUACGGGCUAGCUAGAGUGUGGUAGGGGAGAUCGGAAUUCCUGGUGUAGCGGUGAAAUGCGCAGAUAUCAGGAGGAACACCGGUGGCGAAGGCGGAUCUCUGGGCCAUUACUGACGCUGAGGAGCGAAAGCGUGGGGAGCGAACAGG